GGGUCUUCACAACGGUGGAGUGGAUGACUCCGUGGCCAAAGCCAGCCAGCUGUUGGCGGAGCUUAACUUUGAGGAGGAUGAAGAAGACACGUACUACACCAAAGACCUGCCUGUGCACGCAUGCAGCUACUGUGGUAUCCACGAUCCAGCGUGUGUGGUGUACUGCAACACCAGCAAGAAGUGGUUCUGUAAUGGGCGUGGCAACACAUCUGGCAGCCACAUUGUGAACCACUUGGUGAGAGCCAAAUGCAAGGAGGUGACGCUGCAUAAAGAUGGGCCGCUCGCGAGA